rnacentral:rRNA from 1 species
UACGUAGGGCGCAAGCGUUAUCCGGAAUUAUUGGGCGUAAAGGGCUCGUAGGCGGUUUGUCGCGUCGGGAGUGAAAUCCACUGGCUUAACUGGUGGCUUGCUUUCGAUACGGGCAGACUGGAGGUAUGCAGGGGAGAACGGAAUUCCUGGUGUAGCGGUGAAAUGCGCAGAUAUCAGGAGGAACACCGAUGGCGAAGGCAGGUCUCUGGGCCGCAACUGACGCUGAGGAGCGAAAGCAUGGGGAGCGAACAGG